rnacentral:rRNA from 1 species
GACGAACGCUGGCGGCGUGCCUAAUACAUGCAAGUAGAACGCUGAAGGAGGAGCUUGCUCUUCUGGAUGAGUUGCGAACGGGUGAGUAACGCGUAGGUAACCUGCCUGGUAGCGGGGGAUAACUAUUGGAAACGAUAGCUAAUACCGCAUAACAGUAGAUGUUGCAUGACAUUUACUUAAAAGGUGCGAUUGCAUCACUACCAGAUGGACCUGCGUUGUAUUAGCUAGUUGGUGGGGUAACGGCUCACCAAGGCGACGAUACAUAGCCGACCUGAGAGGGUGAUCGGCCACACUGGGACUGAGACACGGCCCAGACUCCUACGGGAGGCAGCAGUAGGGAAUCUUCGGCAAUGGACGGAAGUCUGACCGAGCAACGCCGCGUGAGUGAAGAAGGUUUUCGGAUCGUAAAGCUCUGUUGUAAGAGAAGAACGAGUGUGAGAGUGGAAAGUUCACACUGUGACGGUAUCUUACCAGAAAGGGACGGCUAACUACGUG